CGCCCUGGCCAAUCAGCGCACGCGGCACGUAUUUCGAAUAUGAGCGCCCGGAAAAGAGUCGAACGUUGCGAGAAUUUAGUAUUUUAAUGACUAAUUGAGGUAAAUACUCGAUUUAACGCCAAAUGUUGUGUAUGUCUACAGAUUCCGGUAGGUUAUAUCCACAUGGCCACAUAGCUUCAGCUUUUUAUGGUGAAGUUGUCACCGUGUUAGUCCCGUUUGACGCCCAGCUAACGCGAUAGCAAGUUUGUUUGGCCAGCUAGCGUGUUUUAAAAGUCUCUUUUUCGCGCCGAAUCCUUUUUAAAAAAUCCUCAGUUAUGGUGAAAGAACGGACCAUGAAGAAGUCUCAGCGGCAAGGUUUGGGGGACCUGAAGGAGAAAAUGACGGAAAAGAGGAACAAAAGUCUCGCCCGGGCAGCUGCGCUCAGCAGAGGAAGGUUCGGGCUGCUAAAGAAAAGCAGCGGAAUGAGGGCGACACACGCUGGAAUCCUGAAGGGGGUGCAGGAGAACAACAAGGAGCUGGCCCUGGCUCUGCAGGCGGAGAAGGAGAAGGUGAGGCAGGCUAAUGCUGUCCUCCUGCACAUGCAGAAGGAGCAGCAAGCGCUCUUCCUGCACCUGCUGCUGCUCAAGAAGAAACUCCAACAGCAGGAAGCGUCUUCUCUGCAGAUACAAGCAGCAAGCGUCCCGGUGGAAACCUGCACGGACUCAUUAAGGAGAGAGCGCAUCAGUGAGACCAAGACAACUUUGUGUGACAUCUCCACAGAUUGUGCAGAGCAUCCUGACACACAGCGUCUUGUUCUUCUGCCUUCCACGGUGUCUGUGAGGCGGCGACCUGCAGGAGAAAAGAGCAGGAGGCGGUCUGAGCGCGUGCAAGAGUGGCGCUCCUUUGGUGACUUGGAGUCGGUGGCUCCUCCCCCUAGUGGUGACACAGCGAAGCCUCAGGACGUCAUCCAUGCUCCACCUUCUGAACCUGACCACACAGAAAGACUGCAGCCAAUCAGAAGCGACCCGCCGCCGGCCAACAGGAAGCGACGCCGCUCCAAAGCAGAACCCUCCGCACUGAAAACCGCGGAGCGAGGCCGCAAGACGGAGCGUGCCCCUUUGAAGAAGCCCUGGGAGAACCCCAAACCCAGGACACGCUCCAAGAGUCGGGACCGCUCGGCCACGCGGUCCAGAGCACCGCCACCGCCGCCACCACCAACUAACAUGAACUCCUCGCUGGGCUUCAACGACACAUUUGACUUUGACUGUGAGGAGGCGGUCCAUGUCACGCCCUUUAAGCCCAAGCCCGACCAGGCUCCGCCUCUAAAGGAAGCGGAAGCACGCACAGUGACGCCCGCCAAGAGUGACGACGGCUCACCGAUGUCGCCGUCCUCUGACUCCGAGGACAGUCUGUAUGUCCCCAAGACCACCAGGAGGAGGCGCACGUCUCCCCAGACCACAAAGACCAUCGCUACCCGGAGAGGACGUCUCUCCAGGAAGGACAGCAGCCCCAACACACCUGAGCCUGUCAAACAGGAAGUGUACCAGGUGAGUCCUCAGGUGGAGGCGGAGAUGAAGAGGAUCGACAGUGUCCUGUCCAUGUUCGGAGACGCCGCAUGUGAGCACGUCACGCCGCCGCCGCCCAAGCAGACGAGCCAGCGAGCAAAGACGUGCAAGAAACGUGUGAGGACAGCAGGGCGGGGCUUGAGUCUGUGUGAUGUGACCAAUAUAUCCCCCGCAGCCUACGGCCCAGCGCGGUUCUCCACGCCCGUCCCCGGACGCAAGCGGCGUUGCACCAUGGUGGUGGACUACAAGGAGCCCUCCUUACACGCGAAACUGCGUCGUGGAGACAAGUUUACCGACACACAGUUCCUCACCUCGCCUAUUUUCAAGCCGCCGCCUGGCAGGAGGUCCAGGACUUCGGUCAAGUUGAACAAGUACAACGAGUCCUUUGUUGGAUGUCGCUGAUGACGUGAAAUUAUACAGUACCUAAAGUUGGAGGGGUGUGUUGACGCCAGAGUCUCUCAGGAAAGUCAUGUGCUGCAGCAGGACGAAGCUCUGCUGGUGUUUCCGGUUCCAUGAAGGGCCAAGCAUUCUGGUGACCCUGAGAUGGAAGAAAAGUCAUCAUGAUGAUGAUGAUGAGUGUUGGUGUCACUGAACACUUGUCUGGUCUUACCUUCACAUGCUGCAACAUGUUCUUCAGUGUGAUGUACAGCUGCUCUGGAUCCUUCACCUCCUUCCUGCACAACACACCACACCUCAUUCACCUUCACAGUACUACUACUACACCAUCAGCAUCCUCUCUCUGCAUAUACUGUAUCAAGUCAAUAUCAAUGCAGAUGUUCCUCUUUUAUUGCUGUUAAACACUUCCAGACCCAAUAAAAGGAAUUUUAAUUAA